UAGAGGGGGGUGAGGGGGGCAAGAGGGGGGAGGGAGGAGGGGUGGAGAGGGGGGUGAGUAAGUGGGGGCGUGGGUGGACGGGGGGGGGGGGGGGGGGGGUGGGAAGGAAAAAUUGGAGGUAGGGUGAGGGAAGGGGGAGGGUUGAAGGGAAAAUAAUGAAACAGAGGAAAAAAGAGAAUAACAAGUAAAAAGCAAUGCAUGUAAAUACAGAGCAAGCAAGUAGGAAAGCUAGGCAUAGCACAGCAAAAGAGAGCAAAGCAAAAGAAGGCAAAGAAUGACAAAAAGCAACCUUGCAGGAAUGGAGGAAUCUGUCCAGAGCUGUGCCCCUGCUUGCCACAGGAGCUGCGCGGGAGGAGAAGAACGUGGGCCAAAAGGAGCUGCGCGGGAGGAGAAGAACGUGGGCCAAAAGGAAUGGAGGGAUCUGUCCAGAGCUGUGCCCCUGCUUGCCACAGGAGCUGCGCGGGAGGAGAAGAACGUGGGCCAAAAGGUAGAGGAGCUCUUUGGGGUUCUGGGCUUGAAGCAAAGCUGAGAAGCCAUGCCCGGGAGGAGGUGUGG
rnacentral:lncRNA from 7 species